rnacentral:misc_RNA from 1 species
GAUGAAGAACGCAGCGAAAUGCGAUAAGUAAUGCGAAUUGCAGAAUUCAGUGAAUCAUCGAAUCUUUGAACGCACAUUGCGCCCGCCAGAAUACUGGCGGGCAUGCCUGUCUGAGCGUCGUUUCGACCCUCGCGCCCGGCUUCUGUCGGGGGCGGUGUUGGGGAUCGGCCACACCCUUCAGUGGGAGGCCGGCCCCUAAAUUCAGUGGCGACCACGCUGUAGCCUCCCCUGCGUAGUACUAAAACCACCUCGCAGGCGGAGAGCGGUGCGGCCCGCCGUAAAACCCCCCAACUUUUACAAGGUCGACCUCAGAUCAGGUAGGAAUACCCGCUGAACUUAAGCAUAUCAAUAAGCGGAGGA